rnacentral:misc_RNA from 1 species
GAUCUUGCCUCUCCUCAUCCAUUUAACUCUUUCUCUUCGACCCAUACGAGCAAGAUCAAUAAUGGAGAUGAGCAUCACUGUGAAAGACAUGAUCAUGCUAAUUAGAGCAUAUUGGGGUUUGUGCACUGAGGAUAGCUGAUCAAAAACAGCUGAUGGAAGCUCGACAGCUAAAUUUGUGAUCAGGAAAAUCUUUUCCAGGGCUUUAUCCUGAUUUUCCAAGAAAGAGUGGCAGUAAGUUGUUAGAAUUGCGAAAAGUACACCAAGGUUAUAAUCAUAGAACUUAUGCCAUUCUUGCCUAGCCAAAUUAGAAAUUAGGGUUAGGAAAUUGGAUAGUAUACCACCGCUCAAUUCUACACAAUUCAGGGUCUUCCAACGAACAUAAAUAAAUAAAUAAAUGAAUACCCUUCGAAUAUUGGAGCCAUCCUUCCUGUUCUGCUUCUUUUCUUGAUCAUCACCAAUGCGGAGGGCAUCCUCUGAUUCAGUCAAACUAUCUUCUAUUACCCUUUGGUUCAAAGCAUUUGCUGGGCAGUGUGAUUCCAAGUCUCCUUUCUCAUUAGCAUCUUUUAUAUCUAUACGGGUGUCAACAUCGUCGAACGGCUGACGAACAGAAGACUUAGUUUCCAACUCACUCAUUACUGGAUGAUGGAGAUCUUGAAGAUAUAGCUAGACCUGUGGAUGAUCGUUGAAGGAUUUAGAUUGCUAGCUUCCGCAUCUGCUUCUGCCCCUGCCAGUCUCCUUACACACUGCGCAUGGUGUACGCUAUAGAGGAUAGACCUGAAAGUCUUUUCCUGUUGCAACCCCGCCACGAAGCAAGAACUUUUUCAAAAGGUCGGCUGGGGACAA